rnacentral:piRNA from 1 species
UAGUAACGAUGAUAUUCUUCCAUUGCCU